UACGUAGGGGGCUAGCGUUGUCCGGAAUCAUUGGGCGUAAAGAGCGUGUAGGCGGUCCGGUAAGUCCGCUGUGAAAGUCGGGGGCUCAACCCUCGAAUGCCGGUGGAUACUGUCGGGCUAGAGUGCGGAAGAGGCGAGUGGAAUUCCUGGUGUAGCGGUGAAAUGCGCAGAUAUCAGGAGGAACACCUAUAGCGAAGGCAGCUUGCUGGGACGUAACUGACGCUAAGGCGCGAAAGCGUGGGGAGCGAACAGG
rnacentral:rRNA from 1 species